rnacentral:rRNA from 1 species
UAGCUGGUCUGAGAGGAUGACCAGCCACACUGGAACUGAGACACGGUCCAGACUCCUACGGGAGGCAGCAGUGGGGAAUAUUGGACAAUGGGGGCAACCCUGAUCCAGCAAUGCCGCGUGUGUGAAGAAGGCCUGAGGGUUGUAAAGCACUUUCAGUGGGGAGGAGGAUUGAYAGGUUAAGAGCUAKUUAAUUGGACGUUACCCACAGAAGAAGCACCGGCUAACUCCGUGCCAGCAGCCGCGGUAAUACGGAGGGUGCGAGCGUUAAUCGGAAUUACUGGGCGUAAAGGGUGCGUAGGUGGUUAAUUAAGUUAUCUGUGAAAUCCCUGGGCUUAACCUGGGCAGGUCAKAUAAUACUGRUUGACUSGAGUAUGG